CUGGGGUGGGCGUGUUUGAGUCGGUGGAAGCCGACGGGCGUCGACGUCUCUGUAUGCAACAAGUAAAAGAACUAUGGGGUCCAAUGUCUCUUCCAGGAUCUGGUCGCCUGAGCCCACUCCUUCUGCGUCUUCCACCUCAUAGCUGGCUUAACCACCAUCUUGAUUGCAUCUAAUCUUGCAUCUGUAAAACCACUUUUUCUUCCAUGAUGGUGUUGUAUACCACCACCACCACCACCAGCAGCUGAUCAAAGUCCUGUGCUGCCGCCUAGGGUCUAAAUGUAAUCAGAUACCUCAAAUUGUUACAAGACCCUCUGUGUUGAAUCCUCUAAAACGAAGUCUAUUGAA